UGGGGAAUUUUGGACAAUGGGCGCAAGCCUGAUCCAGCCAUGCCGCGUGCAGGAUGAAGGCCUUCGGGUUGUAAACUGCUUUUGUACGGGACGAAAAGGUGCCUUCUAAUAAAGGGCGCUCAUGACGGUACCGUAAGAAUAAGCACCGGCUAACUACGUGCCAGCAGCCGCGGUAAUACGUAGGGUGCGAGCGUUAAUCGGAAUUACUGGGCGUAAAGCGGGCGCAGGCGGUUUUGUAAGACAGAGGUGAAAUCCCCGUGCUCAACCUGGGAACUGCCUUUGUGACUGCAAGGCUGGAGUGCGGCAGAGGGGGAUGGAAUUCCGCGUGUAGCAGUGAAAUGCGUAGAUAUGCGGAGGAACACCGAUGGCGAAGGCAAUCCCCUGGGCCUGCACUGACGCUCAUGCACGAAAGCGUGGGGAGCAAACA
rnacentral:rRNA from 1 species